AACUGUAAUAAUUUGGAGCUAAGGCGAGAAAACCAAGCACGCGGAGCUUGUUUAAGGCCAUAAAGCGACUUAUCCAGCUUGCAGAGAUAACCAGGAUGUUGAGAAUCCACAAAUCCAGGGGGCUGCUUCAUAUAAACAUCUUCAUUAAGAACGCCACGAAGAAAAGCAUUUUGAAUAUCAAUCUGCUGAAUAGCCCAACCACGAGAAAUAGCAAGAGAUAGUAAGAGCCGAAUGGUAGUGGGCUUAACAACUGGACUAAAGGUAUCAUCAUAAUCAACGCCAUACUGCUGUUUAAACCCUUUAGCAACCAGGAGUGCUUUGAUACCAUGUUUGA